rnacentral:ncRNA from 1 species
UAUAAGGGGUGCUCACUGAAGUGGGCUGAGAAGUCGCUAUGUGUGACUAACCCAUAACCUGAUUUGGAUAAUGCCAACGUAGGGAUAUACGUAUAUAU